CAGUCGACGCUUCUUUUUCCACCGGAGCUUGCUCCACCGGAAAAAGAGGAGUGGCGAACGGGUGAGUAACACGUGGGUGACCUGCCCAUCAGAAGGGGAUAACACUUGGAAACAGGUGCUAAUACCGUAUAACAAUCAAAACCGCAUGGUUUUGAUUUGAAAGGCGCUUUCGGGUGUCGCUGAUGGAUGGACCCGCGGUGCAUUAGCUAGUUGGUGAGGUAACGGCUCACCAAGGCCACGAUGCAUAGCCGACCUGAGAGGGUGAUCGGCCACAUUGGGACUGAGACACGGCCCAAACUCCUACGGGAGGCAGCAGUAGGGAAUCUUCGGCAAUGGACGAAAGUCUGACCGAGCAACGCCGCGUGAGUGAAGAAGGUUUUCGGAUCGUAAAACUCUGUUGUUAGAGAAGAACAAGGAUGAGAGUAACUGUUCAUCCCUUGACGGUAUCUAACCAGAAAGCCACGGCUAACUACGUGCCAGCAGCCGCGGUAAUACGUAGGUGGCAAGCGUUGUCCGGAUUUAUUGGGCGUAAAGCGAGCGCAGGCGGUUUCUUAAGUCUGAUGUGAAAGCCCCCGGCUCAACCGGGGAGGGUCAUUGGAAACUGGGAGACUUGAGUGCAGAAGAGGAGAGUGGAAUUCCAUGUGUAGCGGUGAAAUGCGUAGAUAUAUGGAGGAACACCAGUGGCGAAGGCGGCUCUCUGGUCUGUAACUGACGCUGAGGCUCGAAAGCGUGGGGAGCAAACAGGAUUAGAUACCCUGGUAGUCCACGCCGUAAACGAUGAGUGCUAAGUGUUGGAGGGU
rnacentral:rRNA from 1 species